CAAUAGUUUUUUAAUUGAAAGCUGGAAUGAAGGGUUGGAUAAAAAAAUAACUGUUUCUAUUUAAUUUAAUUAGAAUUUUAUAUUUAAGUUAAAAAGCUUAAAUUUUGUUAAAAGACGAGAAGACCCUAUAGAGUUUAAUAAAUAAUUAUAUUAUUAUAUUUAGAAUUAAUUUUAUUAGUUAUGUUAUUUAUUUAAUUGGGGUGAUUAAAAAAUUCAAAUAACUUUUUUUAUAUUAUAACAUUUAUAGGUGAAUAUUUGAUCCAUGGUUAAUGAUUAAAAGAUAAAAUUACCUUAGGGAUAACAGCGUUAUUUUUUUUUAGAGUUCAAAUCGAAAGAAAAGAUUGCGACCUCGAUGUUGGAUUAAAAUAAAUUUUUGGUGUAGAAGCUAAAAUAUUAGGUCUGUUCGACCUUUAAAAUUUUACAU
rnacentral:rRNA from 1 species